GUAGGUGGCAAGCGUUGUCCGGAAUUAUUGGGCGUAAAGCGCGCGCAGGCGGUUCUUUAAGUCUGAUGUGAAAGCCCACGGCUCAACCGUGGAGGGUCAUUGGAAACUGGAGAACUUGAGUACAGAAGAGGAAAGCGGAAUUCCACGUGUAGCGGUGAAAUGCGUAGAGAUGUGGAGGAACACCAGUGGCGAAGGCGGCUUUCUGGUCUGUAACUGACGCUGAGGCGCGCAAGCGUGGGGGGGAGCAAACAGGAUUAGAUACCCUGGUAGUCCACGCCGUAAACGAUGAGUGCUAAGUGUUAGGGGGUUUCCGCCCCCCCCUUAGUGCUGCAGCUAACGCAUUAAGCACUCCGCCUGGGGAGUACGGCCGCAAGGCUG
rnacentral:rRNA from 1 species